UAAAAGUGUUGUUGAUCUGUA
rnacentral:piRNA from 1 species